rnacentral:rRNA from 1 species
UACGUAGGUGACAAGCGUUGUCCGGAUUUACUGGGCGUAAAGAGCGCGCAGGCGGUCGAUCAAGUCGAGUGUGAAAGCCCCCGGCUCAACUGGGGAGGGUCAUUCGAAACUGGUCGACUCGAAGGCAGGAGAGGGUAGUGGAAUUCCCGGUGUAGUGGUGAAAUGCGUAGAUAUCGGGAGGAACACCAGUGGCGAAGGCGACUACCUGGCCUGUUCUUGACGCUGAGGCGCGAAAGCUAGGGGAGCAACGGGG